CAGCCGCCACGGGAAUACGAAGGGUGCAAGCGUUAAUCGGAAUUAUUGGGCGUAAAGCGCGCGCAGGCGGUCCUAUAAGUCUGAUGUGAAAGCCCACGGCUCAACCGUGGAGGGUCAUUGGAAACUGGGGGACUUGAGUGCAGAAGAGGAAAGCGGAAUUCCACGUGUAGCGGUGAAAUGCGUAGAGAUCGGGAGGAACAUCAGUGGCGAAGGCGGCCAUCUGGGACAACACUGACGCUCAUGCACGAAAGCGUGGGGAGCAAACAGGAUUAGAGACCCGCGUAGUCCCUGUCUCUUAUAC
rnacentral:rRNA from 1 species